AGUGAACGCUGGCGGUAGGCCUAACACAUGCAAGUCGAACGGCAGCACAGUAAGAGCUUGCUCUUACGGGUGGCGAGUGACGGACGGGUGAGGAAUACAUCGGAAUCUACUUUUUCGUGGGGGAUAACGUAGGGAAACUUACGCUAAUACCGCAUACGACCUACGGGUGAAAGCAGGGGAUCUUCGGACCUUGCGCGAUUGAAUGAGCUGAUGUCGGAUUAGCUAGUUGGCGGGGUAAAGGCCCACCAAGGCGACGAUCCGUAGCUGGUCUGAGAGGAUGAUCAGCCACACUGGAACUGAGACACGGUCCAGACUCCUACGGGAGGCAGCAGUGGGGAAUAUUGGACAAUGGGCGCAAGCCUGAUCCAGCCAUACCGCGUGGGUGAAGAAGGCCUUCGGGUUGUAAAGCCCUUUUGUUGGGAAAGAAAAGCAGCAGGUUAAUACCCCGCUGUUCUGACGGUACCCAAAGAAUAAGCACCGGCUAACUUCGUG
rnacentral:rRNA from 1 species